UCCUGGUCAUCUCAGUUGGUAGAGCACUCCACUGGAAAUGGAGAGGUCCCUAGUUCGAUACCAGGACCAGGCG
rfam:Ixodes scapularis strain Wikel colony gcontig_1108379696156, whole genome shotgun sequence.